rnacentral:rRNA from 1 species
AGAGUAGAAACAAGAACCGGCACGGUUUGUGCCAAGGACAGUUAUUGUUGGAGUGCAUCGCCAUCGUUCUGAUGUGCCUUGCGCUAUUCUAGCGAGCGUAUGAAUGACUCCUGGCAAUGGAUAUCUUGGCUCUCGUGUCGAUGAAGAACGUAGCGAAAUGCGACACUUGGUGUGAAUUGCAGAAUCCCGUGAACCAUCGAGUCUUUGAAUGCAAGUUGCGCACGAGGCCAUUAGGUCGAGUGCACGUCUGUUUGGGUGUCAUGU